rnacentral:rRNA from 1 species
GAGUUUGAUCAUGGCUCAGAUUGAACGCUGGCGGCAUGCCUUACACAUGCAAGUCGUAACGGCAGCACGGGAGCUUGCUCCUGGUGGCGAGUGGGCGAACGGGUGAGUAAUGCAUCGGAACGUAUCCUGGAGUGGGGGAUAACGUAGCGAAAAGUUACGCUAAUACCGCAGUAUUCUGUGAGCAGGAAAGCGGGGGACCUUCGGGGCCUCGCGCCUCUUGGAGCGGCCGAUGUCGGAUUUAGCUAGUUGGUGAGGUAAAGGCUCACCAAGGCGACGAUCCGUAGCAGGUCUGAGAGGAUGAUCUGCCACACUUGGAACUGAG